AGCAGCCGCGGUAAUUCCAGCUCCAAUAGCGUAUAUUAAAGUUGUUGCAGUUAAAAAGCUCGUAGUUGAAUUUCGGGGUUAGUAGGUUGGUCAUGCCUCUGGUAUGUACUGGUCUCACUGAUUCCUCCUUCCUGAUGAGCCGUAAUGCCAUUAAUUUGGUGUUGCGGGGAAUUUGGACUGUUACUUUGAAAAAAUUAGAGUGUUUAAAGCAAGCUAACGCUUGAAUACAUUAGCAUGGAAUAAUGAAAUAGGACGUUCGAUCCUAUUUUGUUGGUUUCUAGGAUUGACGUAAUGAUUAAUAGGGAUAGUUGGGGGCAUUAGUAUUCAAUUGUCAGAGGUGAAAUUCUUGGAUUUAUUGAAGACUAACUACUGCGAAAGCAUUUGCCAAGGAUGUUUUCAUUAAUCAAGAACGAAAGUUAGGGGAUCGAAGACGAUCAGAUACCGUCGUAGUCUUAACCAUAAACUAUGCCGACUAGGGAUCGGAUGAUGUAAUUUUUAAUGACUCAUUCGGCGCCUUAC
rnacentral:rRNA from 1 species